AAAGCUUCCAACUGUUCUAAUGUCAUCAAGGUCCUGUGGUUUUCAAAACCUGUUCACACUACUAACAGCUUAAUUCUUCAAAAUUACACCACUCUGACUCUAUAAAGGAGAAGGAAGAUGAUCAACAACUUCACCAGGAGAAAGUGAGGACUGCAGAUGUUGGAGAUCAACAACUUCAGCUCUUGGCACUUGGAAACUAGGAUCUCAGAUGCUAGCUGGAGGUGGUAUAUAAAUUAUAGGAAAUCGCUGGCCUUUUGCUCAUCAGCAGGACAAUAUUUGAUACCCAAGAAUGACUACCUAGUCAUUCACUGCCACCUCAGCAUGAAGGGCAAGAACUAGACCAGACCUCUGACAAAGAAGUACCUGCUUAUGAUCUGACACUCAAAGCCACAAGCUCAAAUACUGAGAAUGUGAGUUUAGAAGCUAAUAUAGAGUCAUUAUCAGCACUUGGUGAGUCCCUCAGUAUGAGAAUAGUGAAUUCAGACUGAGACGAAAGGGGAGAGUGUGCACCAACUCACCAGGAGCAAGACUUCAGAUGACUUCUGCUAUACAGGACUCGAAGAAGAAAUUGGAUGAGAUAACAUACUAGAGAAUUCUGUGAGAUUUCACUAACACUAGCAGGAGAUCACUUGGAAGAAGCAGGAGACAAGGACAUUUAUGCUCUGCUUGAUCAAUAUCACCUUUGCAAGUCCAGCUGACUCAUUUGGAAAAUGGUUCCUUUUAUAAAACUGAAAAUGUCAGCAACCACCUGACCAGAAUGUUUGAUCUUACUGAGACACAGAAUGGAGUUGCCUAAGUUGCCCCCAAAACCAGUCUGAAGCUCCAGCAGCAGAAAUGACCUCAAGUCUUAGAAAUCACCUCCAUAUCAGUGAAAGACUGCUCUCAUCACAAACCCCUUAAACAAAACCCUUUCACUCAGGGAGAUCCAGAAGUCUGAGAAAUUGUAUUCUGAGAAUUAAAGAUAGAAUCUAAGGUUACAAAUGCCUUAACGCGUUCAAGUCUCAGAUCAACCCGUCUCAUGAAGAUUUCUCAUGCGUUAAGUGCACUGCAGAAAAAUUCAGAAGGUGGAAUUUCUGGCCACGACUGGGCUAAGAGGUCCAAGGCAGAUGGAGGUGUGCUCAUUCCUUAUGAGUUGAAGAGAGUUGAGUGACUGCUCAUGGGCUGGUGAGGAGACAUCAAUGGUCAACCAGCCCAAUAUGCUCCUUUGUGCUAUGUUUCUCUGUGAUUAACACUAGCACCAACUAAUUCUUCUUCCACACAAGCUGUUAUCUGACUUCUCAGAAGAUGUUUUGGCAAAGAAAUUCACCUGUAAUCUCCACAGUCUCAGAAACCUUCACUUCAGUGGCUUUUCUUUCUAGAUUAGGCUAGUGGACACAAUUUGGUGGGCACAUUACUGACUCGUGCAGCCAGUCAGAGAAGAAGUGCCCAUGUUCUCUGGCACACAGAGGAUUGCUGGAGAUUAGGAACCUUCUCAGCCCCACACAGAAGAGGUGCCCCUAUUCUGGGCUAUAAGUGACAUAGUCAACCUGUAAAGACAGACACAGGAACCUCAGUCAAGUGUUCCGGAGACCGGAAUAAAAGGUUAAGGAGUCCUUCAAUGUUCUCACUACUGUGAUGGCUCUGGUAUGAGUGUACCUGGCUGUCUCUAUGGAAAGAUUGAUGGCUAUCUCAGAGACUCAGAGCCAACAGAUGACUCAAUGGCUGCCAGAUAUAUACUUGACUCUGCAUUCCAUCAAUUCAGCCACAUAUGUGCAGUGUCAAUGGCAAGGAAUCAUGGGGAUGAUGAAACUUGUCCUGACUGGGCCAACACUCUUCAACAAUCACAGAGCAGGUACACUAUAGAACUGCACUUAGAUGUAGUGGGAGGCAGAAGAGAAAGAUAAUUUAUUAAGACAC